rnacentral:tRNA from 1 species
UGAAGUACAGCUCAGUGGUAGAGUACUUGCCUAGCACGCAUGAGGCUCUGGGUCAAUNCCCAGCACCACAA